CCAGACUCCUACGGGAGGCAGCAGUGGGGAAUAUUGGACAAUGGACCAAGAGUCUGAUCCAGCAAUUCUGUGUGCACGAUGAAGUUUUUCGGAAUGUAAAGUGCUUUCAGUUGGGAAGAAACAAAUGACGGUACCAACAGAAGAAGUGACGGCUAAAUACGUGCCAGCAGCCGCGGUAAUACGUAUGUCACAAGCGUUAUCCGGAUUUAUUGGGCGUAAAGCGCGUCUAGGUGGUUAUGUAAGUCUGAUGUGAAAAUGCAGGGCUCAACUCUGUAUUGCGUUGGAAACUGUAUAACUAGAGUACUGGAGAGGUAAGCGGAACUACAAGUGUAGAGGUGAAAUUCGUAGAUAUUUGUAGGAAUGCCGAUGGGGAAGCCAGCUUACUGGACAGAUACUGACGCUGAAGCGCGAAAGCGUGGGUAGCAAACAGGAUUAGAUACCCUGGUAGUCCACGCCGUAAACGAUGAUUACUAGGUGUUGGGGGUCGAACCUCAGCGCCCAAGCAAACGCGAUAAGUAAUCCGCCUGGGGAGUACGUACGCAAGUAUGAAACUCAAAGGAAUUGACGGGGCCCGCACAAG
rnacentral:rRNA from 1 species